AAUCACGCUGAAACACCGGUUCUCGUUCGAUCACCGAAGUUAAGCAUCGUAGAGCCAGGUCAGUACUUAGAUGGGGGACCGCUUGGGAACACCUGGUACUGUAAG
rnacentral:rRNA from 1 species